GUGCCCAUAUAUCAAAAUUUACAAUGUCCACAAAAAAAGGGCACCUCGGUUACCGACCCCUAUGAACAUUUGGGGAGGAUUGACCAAGACAUAUAAAGAAUCAUAAUCGCCUCAGGACUGUUGAAACUGCUACCAAGGUUUAAGAUCGCCGACAGGGCCAGCAGUCCAAUUCAAGCUCUUCUCCCCUGGUUUCAAGAAUACACUCCUGUCAUGUGGCAACUUCCGUGCAAGUCCAUUUAGAACUUGAUGGAAAGCGUCUCCUGAUUGUGCAGGUUGAGGGAAUAACAUGGCUUGCUUCAUAGAAGGGUUAGCAAGCAAUCUUUGUUUCCUUAAUAUAACUUCUGGUGGGAUCGAUGUGAGUAUGGUAUCCAACUUAGGAACAUCCUGCUCAUCAACAAACACCCCGAUCUCUUCCCACGGUAUUGCAUCGGCAAACGGUAGAACAAUAUCAUCGGCAAUAAUAACAGGAAUGCAACCAAAUACCACAGCUUCAACCAAUCUUGGGCUCCAGGGGGCCCAUCCAAGUGGGCAUAGACAAAACACGGCUCGUUGCAUGUCCUCGUAAUAUGUUGUUGGAUGCUCCGUCGAAAUGUCAAAUAGUGGAUUGUCCUUAAAGUUCUCCCACACCGCUGCUCUUGCACCUCUGUUGAAAUUGAAAAUCACAAACAGAUUGAUCAGUUAGGAUUAUUUGCUCAUCCGAGUCUGUUUUGCUAUUAAAACAUCAAUGCAUGAACCAAGACAUGUGUAUGCAUAUACUUGACUUGAUUUUCAAUCAGAAUUUUAGAACUAACCAAUUUUAGAUCCUGAAAAUCGAAUACAGUUAACUCAAUAUGAUUCAUCAAUUUCAAUAAUGACACAAAAAUACAACAAUUAUAUAUGUAAAUACAUCAAAAUCUCAUUCUCCGUUGCCUUUUCGGCUUUCGGUAAAAGGAUGCAUGCCACCAUUCUUAUGCAUACAAUAAUAUGAUAGUAUAACAAAAGAUUCAUACUCAAACACCCUCAUUUCAUGUUGGACUGGAAAGACCUACCUUGCAUAAUAACCACCUUCAGGGUCAUUUCCAACAUCAUAAAACAGUCCUCGGAAGUACACAAAAAUUGACCUGGGAGUCUUAUCAGGAAUAAGGUGGGUAUGCAUUUUCUGUGGUGGAGCAUAUGGAGGAAUGGUUAUUGAGCCAUCUUUCAAACACACAUGAUUCCUCUGUCCAAAUGUUUGAACCAAAGUAGCACGCCGCAGCAGCGGAAGAAUCCCUCUUUCGAUUGCCUUCUCUUCCUGGAAACAAAAUAAUAAUAAAAUAAAAGUGCAUGUUAUAUGAUCUAUGUUCAACAUUGGAAUUUCCAAAGUAGCACUAACAGUGAUAUGACCAAUAAAUUUGAAGGAAAAAAACUAUUCUAGACUCAUACUUGGUAGUGGAAACAUGCCCCAAAGUCAUGAGGAACCACAAAGAAAUGAUCGGCUCCCUCUGUUCGGUUCCAAUAAGGCCAAUUUGAAGAAAUAAGUUGUAUGGCACUUCUCAUCAUUCGAGGCGACUUAAAGGGUAAAGGGAGGCCAUUUGGUGUCAAGUCACAGGUGGUGUAUACAGGGGUAUAAAACCAAUCAGCUUCUUCAGGAUUAAGGGUUCGGACAGCGCUAGAUAAGAGAAAUCGAUGCAUAAAUAUCUCAGCAGCAAACAUAUGGGUGAGGCAUCUUGGGUCCUUUUGCAGAAUUUUCUUAUUAUAUUUGCUUGGAAGUUCAUAAACAAAAACCUUCAACCUUCCAACCGGAUCAUCUUCCAAUACAUCACCAGCACUACCUACAAUUUGUUCAACCACAACAUGCUUAGAAUAUUUAAUAAAAUGAAAUAUCAGUUUAAAAUAACUAUACUCACACAUAGAAUUUGAAGAAAUACAUUAGACCAUAUUGUAUCUGCAGAAAUAGAAUUUCUUCAUGCAAGUCCUUCUAAAAUAGAAAACAAAAAAGCUUAUAAAAACCUCAAAAUUCCAAGUGACCUAGGAUGUGCACAUUUGUUGUAUGUACCAAAUAUCCUUGAGAAUUCCUUAGAAAUUACCAAUCUAUUAAAACUACCAAGCCUAUAGACAUAAGAUUACCAAUAAUACACCCUCCGGUCACUAAUAUAAGCAAAAAUCUACUUUUUAGAUACAUUCAAUUAAUGAUAUAUGUGACAUAUAAUAAAGACCACAUACAUCAUUAAUUGAAUGUAUCUAAAAAGUGGAUUUUUGCUUAUAUUAGUGACCGGAGGGUGUAUAUCCUACCACGAGGGGGUGUGUUAUGAUACUGGCUCUAGGGAAAUAUCAUGUAAUAGCAGAAAAUAGGAGGAAGUUUAUUAGGUGUGUUUUACCAUUAUGUUCACCAUUUCAGAGAGCGUGUGAAGCUUCUAAAACAAUUAAUGACGUAAAGUUGGAACAUUUUAGAAUCUUACUUUCAAGCUUUGCGAUGUUUUGUGGGUGUACCCAGAUAACGGCAAGACACUGAAAGUGUUUGUGUAUAUAUAUGUUCAGCUUGGUCAGAUAAACAAGGGAAAGGGAUUUAUUAGGAGAGCUACACCUACCAAUCCCUCUUAUAACAAAUCAUUUCUUGAACUGGAAGAAUUGUUAAUUCUGGUCCAACAUCAGGAACUGUAUCAAGUAGUCUAUCACUUCCUUUUGGUCUUAGUGUUUCCCUCAGUGUCUACUAAAGUUCAGGUCGCAUACACAUGAGCCGAGAGAUAGAAAGUUACUUGUAGUUGUUGAAAGGUCAGUCUUUCAUCAACUGCCCUUCUGCACUUGGUUUGUUUGCACAUUAUACUCCUUAUGCACUUGGUCUUUGGUAUGCUUUAUGGCUUGUAAAGCAUGGCAAUUUUGAUUUCUCUAAGAUAGUACAAAUAUUAAGAGUCCUCAUGGUUACUAUCUUUGUAUGCUUCCGAUUCCAGAAUUCCAGCAGAAUCAAAGUUUACAUUCAGGAUUACUUAAAUAACUUUCUUCAAGUAUUGUAUUCAAUGACUUCGGAUAACAACACUCGGGAAAUGGUUCAACAAGAGGCACUGAGCUCAGUCCCUCUAGUCAUAGAUACGAAGGAUAAAUUUGUACUCAGGUAAAUUUCAGUACCUCAUCCUUGAAGACGAGGCUGUUCUUCAAGGGGCGGGUCAUGUUAGGAUACCGGAUCUAGGCCCAAAAUCAACAAAUGGGUUAAUUGGGAAGUUAGAGAGAACGUCAAUAUAGGGGGGAGAAGGAAAGAGGGGUCAUGGAGUACUCUGGCAGUUAGUAACCACUGGGGUUGGGCAGAGAAAUUUUGUCUCUUCUCUCAGUAGCAUUUGCUCUGGAUUUACAUGGGUUCGUCUUCUGUAAUAUUUCCUUUUCUCAAUCAAUAAUACAAUUCCUUUUCUCUCUUAAUUCACGAUUCUAUCAGUGUUGUCCUGUGCACAUUGAGUGGGAGUAGGAACAAUAAAUUUCAAUUGCUCAUUGGAAAUCAAGCACGACCCUAUUUAUAACCGCAAGGUUCAAUUUUGAUUGCAUUAUCUUUAAAGGUUCACUACCCAUGCAAUCAUACAUUUUCCAAACUCUUCAACUAGUUGCUGACACUGGACCCAGGGAUGGACGUAAGCUUGGCGUUGUUGCAGUGGCUCAGGCACCGGCUAACACUUUUCCUAAUUCUUAACAAAGUUACUAAGCCUGUGCAAAAUGUGAUUCACUUCUCCUCUUUCAAAAAACAUUUAUUUUGAGGUAAAGUGGAUUUAAUUUCACCCUGAAAGUCUUGAAGUUUUGUUAAGAACUUGGAGAGAAAAAAUAGUAUUUUACCAGCAAGAGCUAAUAUACAAAGCCUACAAAUGAAUAUCUGAACUGCAUUUAAAUAGCUCUUUCAAUACGACAACAUUAAAAACAUGCACCGGUAAUACCGCAUAUUUGCAGCAUCUUAGUCACAUAAUUAUGAAUGUCUUAUGUGAAAUUUGAUGUUUAAAUAUUAGUUGGGUGAACUUUAGGAUUAAUUAAUAAUUGGCCCCGCUAUCAUAUAUGUCUAGCUCCAUCCCUGAUUGGACCUAAUCUAAGGAAAUGUUCUAAAGCGAAAACCAACAAAAAAAGUUCUACGAAAAUUGUAGUUAUAGUAUUGAACUAUAAGGCAUGGCACUUGAAAAUUCAGAUCUUAAGAUUAAUACAGAUUCACAGAAGAACCAAUCUUUUAAUCAUUGAAAUUAUAACAUGCUAAGUUAAAUAAUAGCAGCAACAACUAUGAUAAUCAACCUCAAUCAAAAGCAGAUCCUAAUCAAACACAUUCAUAAUAACCAUAAAUUAAAGACACAACAUUGAAAACCAUAACAUGAAGCAAUCAAAUUCAAACCUACAUGACACCUAAACAUAAAGAAAUUGAUCACAAUCAGAAAAAUUCAAGACCUAGAGAAAAAUAAUCACAUCAAACUAACAAAAUCAACAAAAAGCUACCUGAAAUUCUUUCAGUAGGUUGAUUCCUACGAAGCUCAACAGCAUCAAUUGUAAAGAGAAAAGUUGCACAAAGAAGCCCCAAAAAACCCAAUUUCCAAAUACCCAUUUUUUAGUUCCUCAAGAAAAGAAUUAAAUUUUUUAUGCUGCUGCAAAAGUAGAAGUAAAGUGAGUAAUAUAAAGAAGUCAAAUUUGGUCAAAGAAGAAGGUUAAGAGGUCACAAGAGAAAGUAGUUGUGAGAGAUUUCUUAGGAAUGGGAUUUAGCAGAGAAGCAACAGAGACAGAUAAGAAAGAGUGGAUUUGCAAUGAAGAAAGAAACAGAAUUGAAAAAUGGAAGAGUGAAGAAGAAGAUGAAGGUGGUGGUAAUGUAAAACUGGAUUUUGCUGGUUUAGUUUAAUGUUUUGUUUUUGUCAAAUUUGAUAUCAAGUCUAUUUCACACAACCAUUUUUGCACCAACUGCUUGUCUGUUGGGGUUAAACUUCAACUUUUUGUUUUAUUUUUUUGUUAAAAAAAGUUUAGAUGAAUUAAGCUUCGUUAUUCAGAUUAGUAUAAACUUUAAGAUUCAACGAAUAUUUAUAAAGAUAUAUUUAAACUAUUUAUCAUCAAGGAUAAGAGUUGAACACACGACUUUGCAAAUGAAUCAUCUAUUUAUCAAUUAAAAGCACUUUCAUUAACAUCUUUUAUUUUAUCUAGUUGGUUAAAUACGCUUUUACCUCUUUACAAAAAUAUCAAAUUUCAAUUUUUUUUAAUCUUUAAAAAAAUCUCCAACACUAAGUUUCAGCAUUCUUCUAAAUUGAAAUUUGUUUGACUAUUCUUAAAUUUUUUAAUUUUUUAAUGAUUUUAUCGCAAACAUGUUUAGAUCAUUAUCCCUUUAAAAAAUAAUUAGAACAUUAUAUAAAAAGAAGUUCAAAAUUUAAUUUUUAUGUCAAGAUUUUCAUUACUUAUAUUUUUAGAGAAAUGAUAUUUGUACAACCACUUUUUCACAACUUUUUGACAACUUUCUCUCUCAUACUUACAUUAUUCUCUUAUUCUCUCUCUUCCUUUUUCUCUCUCCAUUUUUUUUUACCAAUGAAAAGAGAGAGAAAAUAAGUUGUCACAAAAGUUGUCUCAUAUGGUUGUUCAAAUAACACUACUCAUAUUUUUAAGGCUUAAUACAUGCUUUGGUCCCUUAACUUAUUUUUGAAUUUCAUUUUGGUCCUUUAACUUUAAACCAUCUCAAUUUGGUCCCAUAACUUUGUCUUCGUUUACCUAAUGGUCCCUUCUGUUAGUUUUUUAACAGAAGGGACCACUUAGGUAAACGGAGGCAAAGUUAUGGGACUAAAUUGAGAUGGUUUAAAGUUAAGGGAUCAAAAUGAAAUUCAAAAAUAAGCUAAGGGACAAAAUCAUGUAUUAAGCCUUUUUUUAUAUAAUAAUUAAGAGGCAAAUGAUUUGUUAUAUAAUAUGUAACAUAUAACACUUCAGAUUGAAAGGUUGUUCAGUUUCCAACAAAUCAAAACAUAUGUUUCUAUUCAAUAAAUUAAUUUUUUUUCUCGAGUUAUUAAUCGUGUUGAUAUGUGUCCGCAUCAAGUUCAUCAAAUGAAAAUCCUCCUAUUUUAAAGAGGAAAAGAAACCUCCCUAGAAAUUCAGGCAAGCUUCUUAUAAUUCCAUGGCUUAUCUCUUUUUUAUUUUCUUUAUCUCUAAUUACUUAUUCUUAUCAUAAGUAUAUUAAAAUUUCAAAGCUAAUUAAUUAUCACAGUAAAAAUAAAACCAGAAAUAAGUUCAAAAUUACAACAUUUAUUAACAUUUAUUUUUGAAUUUCAUUUUGGUCCCUUAACUUUAAACCGUCUCAAUUUGGUCCCAUAACUUUACCUCCGUUUACCUAAGUGGUCCCUUCUGUUAGUUUUGUAAAAAACUAAGGUAAAGUUAUGGGACCAAAUUGAGACGGUUUAAAGUUAAGGGACUAAAAUGAAAUUCAAAAAUAAGUUAAGGGACCAAAGCAUGUAUUAGGCCUAUUUUUAACUAUUAGUAUUGUAAAGAAAUAAUAUUUAAUUCAUUACAAACUAAUAAAAUCUAUCUUUUUUUUUAAAAACUUUUUACGAUGUUCUAAACAAGAAAAUUAUUAAUGGAAAAUUGUAUAGUGACGCAGAUAUGCCACUAAAAUUGCAUAUGUAGAUAAAAUACAUUUUUUAGCUUGUACAAAAAAAAAAUGCAAUUUUUAGCUAAUAAAAGCGUCUUUAAAACGUCCAUAUGUUCUAGUUGAACUGUCAAAAUUUUAAAAUUGUUACGUCGGACACAAUGAUAGAGUUUGAACUCUGACAUCUCCACUUAUAUUGUGAGUUUAUAAUGAUUUUGUUGUUUCAUCUAUCUUUAAAACAUUUGAAAUAUAUUGACUAAAAUUAUUUUUUUUUAUCAAAAAUAUUGCAUAAAAUAGUAUUUCCAAUCACACUCAUAAAAUAUAAUACUGACAGUCUCUGAGCUUAGCUCAUUUGAUAAGGGAUAAUGCACAAUAUAAGCAGGGGCUGAGGUUCGAACCCACACCCCACUUAUUCAUAUUUAAAAGUGAACUUUUCUAAUCACUAGACAAUUUGAUAAAAAAAUAAUAAUAAUACUGACAAUUAUAAGAAGAUAAAGUCCCUAAAAAAAAAUUAUAAGUCGAUAAACGUGAAAUAGGUCAUUCCUUCAAAAACAAGUGACAUAGUUCAUUGUAACAAAAAAAAGGUUUAAAGAAAUGAAAGGAAUGAUUAUUAAGAACGAAUCAUGACGUUUGUAAAAAAAAAACGAAUCAUGACACAAAAUACUGAAGUAUAAUGUGAAGUUUAACGACAAUUUUUUUACUUUCUCUCUUGUAUGAUCAUGGAUUUUCUUUUUUGAGAAGGCAAUUAUGGAUUUUCAUGAUUGAUUAGUUUCCAAAUCUAUUGGUACCACACAAUAAAACUUUUCUAAUAAAAACCAUUCAAUUUUAGUUAACUAAGUUUGGUUUAGUUGUAAGAAUUCGAUUUACAUUCUAGAGCGUGGGUUUGAAUUCUGAUGUGAAAAUUUUGUUGAUAAAUAAAGUUAUCUACAUUAGCGUUUAGUUCAAGAACCAACGGUAACCACUUGAAAUCCAAUAAAUUCUAGAAUUAGAAGAAGCACAGAUGACAAGAUCUGGUCAAGUGUUAUCGAUACAAAACAUAAUGAGAUGAUCAAAAUUCCAACUUCCGUUAUUAUAAAAGGACUAUUACUUUUCUCACUCUAGCAUUUCCUCGCGCGCCUUAUUUUUUUCAAUUUUACCCCUCGUCCAGAUUUCAUAUUCCGGAAUUUAUUGUUAGAAUUUUGCAGAUAUUUUCGGAUUUUAAAAUCCGGAAUAAUGUUUUACCAUAAGUUUUGCAAUUUUAAGUUUUACAAUUCCUAAAAUAAAAUGCGAAUAAAAUAAAUAACAGAAAUAAAAAGACACAAACAUAAAACAACUAAUUUUAUUAAUAUAUGAACAAUACAUUACAAUAAUUUUCAAGCUUUUUUAAGCUUAUUACAUAAGAUCCUAAAUCUAUUUCUAAUAUUCUAUGAAUCUAAUUCUAAUCUCCUAAGAGCCUAACCACUGGUAUGUGAUGGGACAUACCAGUAGUUUGCCUAUUAGAGGAAAACCGAAGGAGGGGGGAAGAGGAGGGCGAGAAGAAGAAAACAAUGCCCCUGAGGGAGAUGGGGGAUGCUCAAACUUACGCUCAUACAUGUCAAGCUAAGAACCACACUGACUCACAUGACCUUCAGAUGAACCACAUUUCGUUGCAGUACGUUUCCAUCCUCAUUGAACGUUCAUACAAACCCUGAAAGUUUUCAACGAGACCCUUAUCUAUGAAAGGCCAACGAUGGAAAACCAUGGUUGUAGAAGGAAGAAGAGGAGGAGAGGGUGGGAGAGGAUAGUGUGAGAAAUGGUGGGGUUUGGAAGGCUAUUUAUAGGGAUGGGUGGGUCAAAAAUGGUUGGGAGGCUAUAAAUGCAGUGAACAAAUGCGUUUUACCACUUUUUUUUACCUGACCACCGACAAAAACGUGUGAUGCUGACCACCGACCAUGACUGAUGCAUUCCGGAAUAUAAAAUCCGGAAUGCACACCUGUUUUCUAGAAUAUAUUUUCCGGAUCAAUGCGAUAAUGGUGGUGAACGAGAGAAAAGUUGGCACUUCCUGUAGGGCUAAGGACAUUCCGGAAUGUAAACUCCGGAAAGAUUCAGAGUCAUUAUUGUGGGUUUGGACGGUUGCAACCACUAACACGUUUUCAUUGACUGUAUUAAUGACCUAGGACUUGUUUUAGGCUAUAAAUAGGCUUUCAUCUUCAACAAAUACCUUCAUUCUUCAAUUCACCUCUUUUCUUCCAUUUUCUUCAAAUGUUUUUUAGUUUUUAGGGGUGUCGAUGGUGUCAUGGUCAUUGUUGACCGUUCAUAGGAACCCUGCAAUUGCAAUGCAUUGCAGUUUGUGUGGGGUUCAUAUAACGGUCAAUCGAAACCCUUGACAUCAAAGAAAGACACAGAAAAUUACAUAACAUCUGGUCCGGAUUUCUGUUUGCGGAAAUAACUAACAAUCUGGUCCGAAUUAUGUAAUCCGGACCAGGGGUAUUUUAAUAAAUUUUGCAGGGCGCGCGAGGAGGCAGCAGGGUGGAAAAAGUAAUAGUCUUAUAAAAGUCAUUCAACAAAAGAUGAUAUUCAUUCAUAUGAACACAUGGAACCAAGUUACAAAGGCCAUUGGUACCAAAGAGAAACUUCAUAGUUCACCUGCCCAUUCUAAUCUUGAAAUUUGAUUUCACCACCUCCACAAUCUUAGUAAUAGCCUUCCAAACACAAGAGACGCCUGGAAUCAUGGUAGCAUCUAAAAUAUGAUCACGCUUAAGUACUUAAAGGAUAAAAGGUUCGCCCACAAUUAAUCUGAGUCAUGGAUUCAAUCUCAGACAUGUUUGCCAAGAAUUAAAUCCUAGUUUUUCUAUUGUGAUACAAUUACUUAUAUCAUCAAAAAUCAAAUUUGUUUACAAAUUUUUAUACUUCGAUUAUCCAAAGCCGUGACCCAAAUUACCUAAUCUGGUAUGCAGCACAAAAAAGAGAACAGGCACUCCAACUAGACUAGUGAACAAGUUUUGAAAGCAUGCUAUAGAGCAAUCAUGCUACGAGUUAGAUUAUAGUAUCUAAUGAAUUGUGUGCCAAAAUAUCAAAAUUUACAAUGUCAAAAAAAAGAAGAAAAAAAAAUAGACACCUAUUUACCCAGCCUUAUUUUUAUGAACAUUUAGGGAGGAUAGACCAAGACCAUGUAAAAUUAUCCUAAUCACCUAAGAAAACUACGACAACUGUUACCAAGGUUUAAGGUCACCGACAGGGCCAGCAGUCCAAUUCAAGCUUUUCUUCCCUGGUUUCAAGAAUACACUCCUGUCAUGUGGCAACUUCCGCGCAAGUCCAUUUAGAACUUGAUGGAAAGCGUCACCGGCUUGAGGAGGUUGAGGGA
rnacentral:lncRNA from 1 species